GGGACGAGGGGAAGCCAUGGCCUGACAGCUGCCCUUCUGGUCAGCAGUGGAAUUCUGCGGGGUCCAUUAGAAGGCCAUUUCUCUGUAAUGCUUUCUCUGUUGGUUCCAGUCAAGAUGUGGCCGUUGUAUGAAGUAAGUUUGUGGUUGCUGUGAAGCUGGGAGGAAUGUUGACUGCCUUGGGGGUUGAGAGGCCUUGCAGCAAGAUGUGGAGAAAUGUGAGGGUGGUCCCCAUCUGCACGAAGAAGAGCAAGCGCUGCGUUCUGCACCUGGGAUGCGGCAGCCCUGGCUGUACGUACAGCGUGGGGGGGGCGAGGGGCUGGAGAUCAGCCCUGCCAAAAGGGAGGGAUCUGGGCGUUGUGGUUGCUGACAACUUGAAUCUGAGCUGGCAGUGUGCCCUGGGCACAGGGUUUGAGUUUGGGUGGUCCUUUGGGGAGCCAGGGGUUGGACUUGAUGGUCCCUGUGUCCUUUAAGAAGGCCGAAUAGUCUUUCAGUGAUUGUUCUGGGCAGCUCACACCACUGGGUGUAUAAUUCAUUUCACUUGGAAUUUCAGGGUCAGACAUAAAUGUUAUUAUCUGCUUUAGAGAAAGAAGUGGGAGGCUGAACUGAUAUUUGGAAAAAUGAAAAAUGUUUAAAAUGUUUUUUGCAAGAUAAGCCCUCAGCAAACAGUCGUCCUGUUCCACUUUUGGCCAGUCUCAGAUGCUUGUCUUCCAGAAUGUCUGCGUGUGGAUGAAUCACAACAGGAUCCUGGGAACUUUUAAGAAAGGAAAGAUUGCUUCACGUGUAAUGAAAAGCUAGUGUCCAGAAGAUCACUGCGGCCAGAUGCCAAUUUUGAUGCCCUCGUCAGUAAGACUUGUCCAAGCCCUGAUGUAUGUGAAACUCAUCAGGAGGGAAUGCUGGCAAGAAUCAGCUAACACAAUAGCAGCAAGCUUCAGUGACAGCGUUAAGGAAGGGUGACGAUUCAGGCUGGGAGCAGGUGUAUGGGAACUGUAUAAUCACAGCCUGACCCUCUGUUUGACCACCUGAGGCGAGUGCUGAGUCAGCUGCAGGGGCACAGGUGAUGGCAGUUUCAGCUGAGUGACCGGAAGGGGUGGACCCUGGCUGCAGCCCUGCUAGACCCCAUGUAAGGGCUGACUCCCAAGGAGGAAGGAUCUCUCUCUGGAGGUCACCCUUAGUGGAGCCCUUCUGCGCGCCCAGGGUACGGGAAAGCAGUGCGGAGGGAACGUGUGUGGUGAGAUGCUGAGGAGAGAUUGCCUUCCUUGCCCCAGCAGGCUGCUUGUGUCCUGGUGAUGCACGGUGACGAGAAGGCUGCUGUUCUGUGAGUAAGCCUGCCCCGUGGGAGUAAUGGUUGUGGCCUUUUGGGCAAGUCUCUGAGGAGAGGUCUUUGGGCAGGCUGGUUGUUUUGCUGGGCAAGUGCCAUUUCAGUUGUUUGUUGCCAUGCUUGGUUGUGGUCCUCUAGACGAGCAGUGCUCUGGCAGCAGGGGAGUGAGAAAAUGUCAUGUCCACCCAGUCUUCUCCACGAGCCUUAAGC
ensembl:lncRNA